GACGAACGCUGGCGGCGUGCUUAACACAUGCAAGUCGAGCGGUAAGGCCCUUUCGGGGGUACACGAGCGGCGAACGGGUGAGUAACACGUGGGUGACCUGCCCUCAGCUCUGGGAUAAGCCUGGGAAACCGGGUCUAAUACUGGAUAUGACUCCAUGACGCAUGUUGUGGGGUGGAAAGCCUUGUGCGGCUGAGGAUGGGCCCGCGGCCUAUCAGCUUGUUGGUGGGGUGAUGGCCUACCAAGGCGACGACGGGUAGCUGGUCUGAGAGGACGACCAGCCACACUGGGACUGAGACACGGCCCAGACUCCUACGGGAGGCAGCAGUGGGGAAUAUUGGACAAUGGGCGCAAGCCUGAUCCAGCGAUGCCGCGUGUGUGAAGAAGGGCCUGCGGGUUGUAAAGCACUUUCAGUAGGGAAGAAAAGCCGAGUG
rnacentral:rRNA from 1 species